rnacentral:piRNA from 1 species
UCUGUGUUUUGAAGGGUGUUAUUGUCAGUC